CUCCGAUUGGCCGCUGCCAGUCACGCGGCCCGCGGGCGGGACGGAAUUGGAGAGCUUUCACUUGCUGACCUGGCGUCACCACCGCUCCGGUUCUUGUGGCCAGGUCUUUUACCCCUGCCCUGGGGAGGACUCAGGCGCAGGGGAGGGAUGGGGACAGGGGGCGGGGCGCAGGGGAGGGAUGGGGACAGGGGGCGGGGCGCAGGGGAGGGAUGGAGCAGGGGGCAGGGCAAGGAGGGAUGGGGACUCAGGGCGGGGCACACGGAAGCAACUGCAAGGACUAAGGGAGUCCGCAGCCUGGGGCAUUGGAGCCCUUCGCCAUACCCCUAGUGCGUCCUCACCCCCUCAGCCCGUGCUUCCCAGGGCGGGUAUCCUCGGAAGGCCCGGCCCUCACAGCCUUGGCAGGCCAAGGUCAGAAUGAUUGGAGUUGGGGGAUGGGACGGGGGCAUCCCUCCAGGACCAGCUCUCCAGGAGGCCCACAUUCUUUCUGCGGGAACCACUCCAAAGGGGCAUGCUGUUCCAGGCAGCCCCUCGCGCAGACACUCCGGCUUUGUCGAGGCAUUAGGAUUAAGGUUAACUAAAGGCCAUUGAGAACCCGCAGAAGCAGGAAAACCUGUUUGCCUCCCCCAUUAGCUGCCUAAAAAAAUAAAGUGCCUGGCCUGGCGCGAUGACUUAUGCCUGUAAUCCCAGCACUUUGGGAGGCCGAGGCAGGCAGAUCACCUGAGGUCAGGAGUUCAAGACCAGCCUGACCAACAUGGUGAAACCCCAUCUCUACUAAAAGUACAAAAGUUAGUCGGGCAUGGUGGUGGGCACCUAUAGUCCCAGCUGCUUGGGAGGCUGAGGCAGAAGAAUUGCUUGAACCCGGGAGGCAGAGGUUGCAGUGAACUGACACCGCACCAUUGGAUUCCAGCCUGGGCAACAAGAGUGAAACUCCAUCUCAAAAAAAAAAAAAAAAAAAAUUAAAAAGUGCCCUUUCAUGAAGGAAUUUCCAGUGGUCAAGGCAUCUAUACCAGAAAGAGAGUUCCAAAAACAACUCUUCACCUGAGACACUUGUUUAAAUACUUAACCAACAUCACCUGCCUCCCCAGCCCAGAGGCCCCCAAGCCCUAUUCCUUUGUGGUGCUGACCUACGCCCCUGCCCUCUGGCUGCCUCCUUUGUGGUAUUGAGCCCCCACCUUCUGGCUGCCUCCUUUGUGGUACUGAGCCCCCGCCCUCUGGCUGCCUCCUUUGUGGUACUGAGCCCCUACCCUCUGGCUGCCUCUUUGAGUCUGAUUUUUGAGGCCCCUUCUCUCCACCCUAUGUGUGCAUCUGUAAUUUAAAAUUGCCUUUUUAUCUUUUUCUCUGCUGUUCAUCUGUCUUAAGUCAGUUUCAUUCUGAGGCCAGCCACAGAACCUAGAAGGGUAGAGGCAACUUUCUUCUUUUCCUGCCACUGCGGCAGCAUAUCCCCACGGGCAGACACAGACGUGGAAAUGCAGGAAGAUGGAGCAGCAGCAGGAAAGGGACUGGACAGCCCUGGGCACCCACCUGCCACUCGGCUAAGCUCUGCUCCUCCCUGGCCUGCAGAUUCCCUGUCCUGGUGAUCUGCUCCCGAAGGUACUCCAUGUCCUCCUCCAGCUUCAACUGUGGGACACACAAACCGCAGGAUUUGGGAUCAGCGAUCCCCCUACCUCCUGCCUAGAGUCCAGUUGUGCUCGCUGAAACUGCACCCACCCCAGAGACCCUCCUCAGGAGGGGCAGGGGAUCAAAAUACGUCACCCAGAAUGUGCCACCUUGGAUUAUUUUGAGCUGAAGGCACUUAAAAAAGGGCAGGUGUAAGAAUUGCUGUGACCCUCGGCCUUCCUAAGAGCAGAAGGCACAGCCACCAUGCCAGAGAGGACUGCCCUAGGCCAGGAGGAAAGCCAUGUUCUUACCAAGGGCGGGAAAGCCGAAACCAGAGAAAUCUGUGCAAAGGGACCCUGCUAAACUAACCCUCAUCCUCCUCAGGUACAUGUUUGGCUCUAACAUGCUUCCAUGGGCCUCUGGCUCCUUGGGAGCGACUCCUGGGUCAUGGAAAGCUUACAGGGAAUGAAUUUCAGUGCUUUGCUUCUGCUUAUCUGUCUCAAAUCAGUUUGGUUCUCAGAGCCACCCAAAAUACUCUGAGAGGAGAGGUAAGAUUUUGCAAUGCCUGCAUCAUACAGUGUAGGCCCACAUUGUCCCCAGGGACACCCCUACCCAGCCACAGGCCACCUUGUCCCCUGGAUGCCUCCUCCCCAGCCCCUGACUCGGGCCACUUUGUCCCUGGACACCUCCUCCCUCCCCCAUGAUCUGGGUCACCUUGUCCCCCUGGAUGCCUCCUCCCCGGCCCCUUGACCUGGGCCCCGAUGUGGCCUACCUUGUACCCCUGCACUGCCUCCUCGGCGGGCAGCACCCUGUGCAGCCGGUGCUCCCGGGACUCCCUGCACACCACACAGAUGGGGC
rnacentral:lncRNA from 10 species